rnacentral:lncRNA from 1 species
AUGGCAGGCAGAGGGAAGGUGCCCGGCAGAGGUGGUGACUGCUGGUGUCCCAAGCAGGGAGCUCGCAGCUGGGACACGGGGUGGCUUUGCCUAGGUGGAGGGUUUGGAAGGAGCCCAGUGCGGGCAGGCAGCCGCCCUGUGCAGUCCCCUGCUGCUGCCCCUGCAUCCUCCCAGGAUGCUGCUGCACCCGUCCGGAGCCAGGUGACCCCACUCCGCGCCGGCACCCACGCCGCCGCCGGACACCUCGGCACAGAGCAGGCCGGAGCUACGUCCCCGGCUCCGAGGGCUCCUGUCCGUCUUUCCGGUGCCAUGCCGGCACGGAGGCCUGCUGCCUUCCAGGAGGGCCGAGGCCGGCAGGGUCGGCCUGCGCCGGGGAUGCUGCCGUCGCCCUCCUCCGCCGGGGCCGGGCCGGGAGAGGCUGCGAGCCGAGGGCUCGUGUUCCCCUCGCUGCGGCGCGGUAUCUCCUUGAAGCGUGACAGCCGCGAUUGCUUCCAGAUGUGCACCGCCGCGGCUCCAGCAGGCCGGGGUGGAUGUGGUAAGCGCCGCGAUGGAAACCAAAAACCGGACCAGAUGUACCGUGUCAGCGUCAGCAGCGCGCACAUCUGGCUCCCGCGCACCCGGGCACCGCCAGAACGGGCGGCCCCCGUUUCUCCGGCGCCGAACUCGUCCGCGUGCGGCUCUGCCGAGCGCGGAGCCGGGCCCGCGGGGAGGAUGCCCCGGCCGGCACGACGCAUCCAUGCGCUCGGGCAGGAGAUGGGACCCGCCACCGCCGUGGGGGCUGCAGGCAGCGAUCGCUGGGGUUGCCACGUGCGUGUCUGGGAGCCCCACGGAGCGCCGGCGCUCCAAAGGGAAGAUCCCGGCGCGCUCCGAAGGGAAGAUCCCGGCGCGCUCCAAAGGGAAGAUCCCGGGCUGGGCCCUGCCGCGCACCCGCUGCCCCCCCGGGCUGAGCUUCCCUGGGCACCGCGGGAACGCGACCAGCGACGCUCCGGCUGCGGCCCCGGCUGA